GGACCGGUAGUGUAGUGGUAAUACGAUGCAUCCAGAUGCAAAGACGAGUGGUUCAAUUCCCUUCUGGUUUA
rnacentral:tRNA from 1 species